UGGGUUUUGGAAACUGAACGGUGCUGCAUGGCUGUCGUCAGCUCGUGUUGUGAAAUGUUGGGUUAAGUCCCGCAACGAGCGCAACCCUUAUCCUUUGUUGCCAGCGAUUCGGUCGGGAACUCAAAGGAGACUGCCGGUGAUAAACCGGAGGAAGGUGGGGAUGACGUCAAGUCAUCAUGGCCCUUACGAGUAGGGCUACACACGUGCUACAAUGGCGCAUACAAAGAGAAGCGACCUCGCGAGAGCAAGCGGACCUCAUAAAGUGCGUCGUAGUCCGGAUCGGAGUCUGCAACUCGACUCCGUGAAGUCGGAAUCGCUAGUAAUCGUGGAUCAGAAUGCCACGGUGAAUACGUUCCCGGGCCUUGUACACACCGCCCGUCACACCAUGGGAGUGGGUUGCAAAAGAAGUAGGUAGCUUAACCCUCGGGAGGGCGCUUACCACUUUGUGAUUCAUGACUGGGGUGAAGUCGUAACAAGGUAACCGUAGGGGAACCUGCGGUUGGAUCACCUCCUUACCUGAAGAUACCUUCGUGCGAAGUGCUCACACAGAUUGUCUGAUAGAAAGUCGAAAACACAAAACAGCUCUACAGGCUAGUCACUCAUGUGUGUACACUUCACCCAUGAUAAAGGAGACGUCCGUGGCUCAAGUCCACUCAGGCCUACCAUCUUCUAACUCAUGCUGCUUGAUUGGUGACGCGCGAAAGGUGUCUCAACGUACUAUCACAAAGCUGUUCUCAGGGUCACAUUUGAGAUAUUCAUGCUUUGAAAGUCCACUAACAAGCUGUAAAUAUUCACACGCACCCAACUGCAUGUGUCCUCCGGACUUAAGGAACAACAAGCACGAUGCCUUUCGACGUCUCUCAAUAAGCUCAUACGAUUUCCAGAUUGCAACUUCAGCAUCCCUUGUCAGUUGUUUGCUGAAUACUACAUUCUAAAUUCAAAACGCGUAAACGGGUGAGCGUGCUGAAUGAUUAAUGCUUCAUGCAUCUAUUCCCGAAUCCAGGAUCAAAACUUUAGAAACUGACAACACAUCCCAGGUUCCCUGCUUCAAUCAGUGAAACACGGAACACAAUGCCGUAUGGGGUUCCCUGAAAAAGCUAAAACCACCCCAAAAACGGCCAAAAGGCCCAAAAAUGUGUUGUUUUGU
rnacentral:sRNA from 1 species